GUUUUGCAUGGGAUUGAGGUUAUAGCAUUAGCUUGUAGUUGUAACAUAGGUCCCUAUUUAACUAUGGUUUGAGUUUGACUUUCGUGAAUUCACGAGCCAAAGCGUGCGCUAAUGCAUGCGCCAAUAAAUCCACUCCAUGCUUCACAGCAGCAGAAUCAGAUUUCUCAGAUUCAGAUCAUUACAAUAACUAGGAAAACAAGUAAGUACUGCUACUACCACUGCAACUAACCACGCCUCUUUUUAUUUUUUCUUUCCUUUUUCAGUUUGUUCAGUUUUCACGCUCAUCUCAUCUCUCGGUCUCAGUCUCAGUAUCAAGCGUGCAUGCUUCGCUAUGAGUCGUUGCGAUCGGAUGGAACAAAGAGUAGGAGAUUAUAGAGUUCUCUGCUUCAAUCUUUGUACACUGUAAUGAAUGAGUUCAUGUUACAUGCCAGAUAUUAAUGAGUCACUUAAAUUAAGGAUUUAAGUUUGUACUUUGUACCUCGAAAUUUCCCCAAUUUCAAUUUGGACAAAACUUAGACUGUCUUUAUUUUCAAAGUGUUUUUGUUUUGAUUUUAUAAUAUUAAGUUAUCACUAAGAUAACACUAUUAAAUUUGGGUUGUUUGAAUAUUUGUGGCAUAAUUAAGCAUGUUAAAAUGGGCUCCAGCUCAUGAGUCACGGGGGAUUUUUGAGUUGGAGCUUAUUAUGAUUGUGGGAUGGGAUUUGCUGCCAGAGACUUUGUGAGAGGGACUUGCUUCAUAGACUAUGUGCUAUAUGUGAUGAGUUGGAGAUCCUGUUGUUUUGGGUUGGGUUUUGUAAUUCUCCUUGGAAAUUACUUCUUGACCCUAGACAAGUGGUACUCUUUUUCCUUCUCUAGGUUUUCCCAAGGGGGUUUUUCCUAGUAAGGUUUUAAUGAGGCCCCUUCUCUAGGGUCUAUUUCCAAGGAGGGGGUGGGUAAGGUAUUAGGAUACUUGUCUUUGUAAGUGUUGUCAAUUCUAAGUUUUUUCUAUUGCUCUUUGCUUGUAUUGGGCUGAAGUACCCCUUGUACUUCAUUUCAAUAUAAUUUUUGCUUAUCAAAAAAAACAAAUGAGUCACGGGGGAGUUGGAUUGAAAAACUUCUAUUUAGGAAUUGAGAUGUUAAAAUUGGUCAUGUGCCGCGAGAGGGAAAUGCUCCAACAGACUGUCUAGCGGGAAUUGGUGCAAGACUACAGUGUGCUGCAAUGGAUUUAGAUUCUCCUCCUGAUGAAGUGGUGCCUCUUCUUCAUAAGGAUUUAGUUGCUUUGUAGUUUUUCUUUUAAUUUUCCAAUGUACCAAAAAAAAUAUUAUUAAUUAUACAUUUUGUUGUAAUUCAUUGAAAAUUUAUUUUUUCCACACAUUUUUCUAAUUUC